AGUCGAACCAGCAACCUUGUAGUUCAGAGCACGCGCUCUAACCAACUGAGCACCUGGCCGCCCAUGCGCCCUGCUUUUAAGGAUCUCACAAACAAGAGAAUUGCUCUAUCACGUGGAAAUGAUCCCAGAAGAAACUAGUAAGGAAGUGGAAAAAACAGGAAAAGGAACGGUUCCAGCCAAGCCUGCAGGCGCUGAGAGAUGGACCCGCAGAGCUGCGAGAGGGGGAGAAAGCAGUUGGAUCAGGGCACCAACAGCUCCCACGGGGGGACCAAUCGGAAUAAAGUGGGACUGUUUUGUGUUUGUUUGUUUUUACUGGUUUUUAAAAAUGAGUAAUAUGUUCAAUAGAUAACUCUAACCCCUGCCCUGCUCCUAGAUUUCACCCCACCCCUGCCUGCCAUCUUGCUUCUAAAUGAGUGGCGACAUCGUUGCCUUCCUUGAGCUGACUGAAGGGUAAGGGCCAAGGUGGUAAUCAGGGAUGAGGCGAGGACAACCGGAGUCCACAUUCACUGGGAAGGAACAGCAGUGCUGCUUUUGAAAUGGAGGCAGACGUCCCCAGCAGCAGUAUUUCUGAGUGAAAGAGGCAGAGCUGAAUCAGUGGUAGUGAUGAAGUCACAGAAGGUACCCUGGUUUCUAGCCUGCGUGUCGGGGUGGAUGGAAAUAUCAUUAAAGGAGACAGAAAAAUAUAAGAAAAGGAAUGAGUCAGGGGUGGGGAGAGGAUGAUGAUGAUCUCUUAGUAUCUUAUUCUUACACAUUGGGUGUUUUCGGACUGAGACCCACACCAUCUAUUUCCACAGAGUUUGCCAUCCACGUUAACGUGACUUGACUACAUUAAUAGAGCUUGCCAAUUCCGAGAAACACUUGCCUGUGAGACUGAGGCUGCAAAUAGCUUUAUUCCUUCAGGAAGUUGCCCGGAGCUCUCUAUUUGAACCACAGGCUGCUCAUCUAACCCUCAUUUGGGUAAAUAUCCCUUUCUUGGGCAAUAGAUAUUUCAUCAGUGACUAUUCUUCAAGACUCACUUUGGAACCCCUUCCUUGCUGUGUCCUCCAAUCUUACACAAUGAUGUCAUGAAGUUUGCCUAAUCCCAGUUAGGCCCCCACAGUGACAGACCCACCCAUAACUGGACCCCCCCCCCAAUACAUCACACUCUGCUGCCCUUGCCCUCCACCCUCUGAGACACCGUUCAGACUCUGGG